rnacentral:rRNA from 1 species
GACGAACGCUGGCGGCGUGCCUAACACAUGCAAGUCGAGCGGAGAUGAUGUGAGGAAGUUUUCGGAUGGAAUCACAUUAUUUUAGCGGCGGACGGGUGAGUAACGCGUGAGCGACCAACCUUGCACAGGGGGAUAACGGACCGAAAGGUUCGCUAAUACCGCAUGAGACCACGGUGUUGCAUGACACAGGGGUCAAAGGAGGAAUCCGGUGCAAGACGGGCUCGCGUCCGAUUAGGUAGUUGGAGGGGUAACGGCCCACCAAGCCUAUGAUCGGUAGCCGACCUGAGAGGGUGAUCGGCCACAUUGGAACUGAGAUACGGUCCAAACUCCUACGGGAGGCAGCAGUGGGGAAUAUUGGGCAAUGGGGGAAACCCUGACCCAGCAACGCCGCGUGAAGGAAGAAGGUUUUCGGAUUGUAAACUUCUGUCCUUGGUGAAGAGAAGAAGACGGUAGCCAAGGAGGAAGCCCCGGCUAACUACGUGCCAGCAGCCGCGGUAAGAC